rnacentral:tRNA from 1 species
GCGAGCUCAAUUGCCCAACACCAUGAGCCAAGGGCUCACUGAGGCCCCAGUAGACGCACCGGACUUAAAAUCCGUAGGGCCGCAAGGCCCGUGCCGGUUCGACUCCGGCCGCCCGCA